AAAUUGAAGAGUUUGAUCAUGGCUCAGAUUGAACGCUGGCGGCAGGCCUAACACAUGCAAGUCGAACGGUAACAGGAAGCAGCUUGCUGCUUCGCUGACGAGUGGCGGACGGGUGAGUAAUGUCUGGGAAACUGCCUGAUGGGGGGAUAACUACUGGAAACGGUGGCUAAUACCGCAUAACGUCGCAAGACCAAAGAGGGGGACCUUCGGGCCUCUUGCCAUCAGAUGUGCCCAGAUGGGAUUAGCUAGUUGGUGAGGUAACGGCUCACCAAGGCGACGAUCCCUAGCUGGUCUGAGAGGAUGACCAGCCACACUGGAACUGAGACACGGUCCAGACUCCUACGGGAGGCAGCAGUGGGGAAUAUUGCACAAUGGGCGCAAGCCUGAUGCAGCCAUGCCGCGUGUAUGAAGAAGGCCUUCGGGUUGUAAAGUACUUUCAGCGGGGAGGAAGGUGUUGUGGUUAAUAACCACAGCAAUUGACGUUACCCGCAGAAGAAGCACCGGCUAACUCCGUGCCAGCAGCCGCGGUAAUACGGAGGGUGCAAGCGUUAAUCGGAAUUACUGGGCGUAAAGCGCACGCAGGCGGUCUGUCAAGUCGGAUGUGAAAUCCCCGGGCUCAACCUGGGAACUGCAUUCGAAACUGGCAGGCUUGAGUCUUGUAGAGGGGGUAGAAUUCCAGGUGUAGCGGUGAAAUGCGUAGAGAUCUGGAGGAAUACCGGUGGCGAAGGCGGCCCCCUGGACAAAGACUGACGCUCAGGUGCGAAAGCGUGGGGAGCAAACAGGAUUAGAUACCCUGGUAGUCCACGCCGUAAACGAUGUCUACUUGGAGGUUGUGCCCUUGAGGCGUGGCUUCCGGAGCUAACGCGUUAAGUAGACCGCCUGGGGAGUACGGCCGCAAGGUUAAAACUCAAAUGAAUUGACGGGGGCCCGCACAAGCGGUGGAGCAUGUGGUUUAAUUCGAUGCAACGCGAAGAACCUUACCUGGUCUUGACAUCCACAGAACUUUCCAGAGAUGGAUUGGUGCCUUCGGGAACUGUGAGACAGGUGCUGCAUGGCUGUCGUCAGCUCGUGUUGUGAAAUGUUGGGUUAAGUCCCGCAACGAGCGCAACCCUUAUCCUUUGUUGCCAGCGGUUAGGCCGGGAACUCAAAGGAGACUGCCAGUGAUAAACUGGAGGAAGGUGGGGAUGACGUCAAGUCAUCAUGGCCCUUACGACCAGGGCUACACACGUGCUACAAUGGCGCAUACAAAGAGAAGCGACCUCGCGAGAGCAAGCGGACCUCAUAAAGUGCGUCGUAGUCCGGAUUGAGUCUGCAACUCGACUCCAUGAAGUCGGAAUCGCUAGUAAUCGUGGAUCAGAAUGCCACGGUGAAUACGUUCCCGGGCCUUGUACACACCGCCCGUCACACCAUGGGAGUGGGUUGCAAAAGAAGUAGGUAGCUUAACCUUCGGGAGGGCGCUUACCACUUUGUGAUUCAUGACUGGGGUGAAGUCGUAACAAGGUAACCGUAGGGGAACCUGCGGUUGGAUCACCUCCUUA
rnacentral:rRNA from 1 species